rnacentral:rRNA from 1 species
GGUAAUUAGAUUAAUAUUAAUUAUCUGACCUGCCCAAUGAUAUAGUUGAAAAAAAUAUUUUAAUGGCCGCAGUAUUUUGACUGUGCAAAGGUAGCAUAAUCAAUUGUCUAUUAAUUGUAGACUAGAAUGAAUGGUUUUUCAUAGCUUGGUUUUCUUUCCCAUUCUAUUGAAUUUAAGAUUUGAUUAAAAAAAAUUAAAAGAAAAUUUUAGACGAGAAGACCCUAUUGAGUUUUAUAUUUUUACAUAAAAAAUGAGUAGAAUAAUUUUAGUGUAAAGAAUAUUUUUCUGGGGCGGAGAAUUAUAUGUUUAACAUUGAAUAUUGAGUAUAGGUUAUUUAGGAUCCAUAAUAUAGAUUUUAGAGAUGAUUUUAAGAUUAAAUUACUGUAGGGAUAACAGCUUAAUAUAAUUUUAAAGUUCUUAUUGAUGAUUAUGUUUUUGACCUCGAUGUUGAUUUAGGAUUCCAUUUUGGGGUAGAAAAUAAUAAUGGUAGUUUGUUCAGCUAGUAAUAUCCUAUGUGAUCUGAGUU